rnacentral:rRNA from 1 species
UACAGAGGGGGCAAGCGUUGUUCGGAAUUACUGGGCGUAAAGGGCGCGUAGGCGGCCUUCUAAGUCGAACGUGAAAUCCCCGGGCUCAACCCGGGAACUGCGUCCGAUACUGGAAGGCUUGAAUCCGGGAGAGGGAUGUGGAAUUCCAGGUGUAGCGGUGAAAUGCGUAGAUAUCUGGAGGAACACCGGUGGCGAAGGCGGCGUUCUGGACUGCAACUGACACUGAGGAACGAAAGCCAGGGGAGCAAACGGG